rnacentral:rRNA from 1 species
GCCCUAAACCUCAGUAGUUAAACAACAAAACUACUCGCCAGAAUACUACGAGCAACGGCUUAAAACUCAAAGGACUUGACGGUGCUUUACAUCCCCCUAGAGGAGCCUGUUUCAUAAUCGAUAAACCCCGAUCUACCCUACCCUCUCUUGCUCAGCCUAUAUACCGCCAUCUUCAGCAAACCCUGAUAAAGGUCACAAAGUGAGCGCAAACGCCUCCCCGCAAAAACGUUAGGUCAAGGUGUAGCCCAUGAGACGGUAAAAAAUGGGCUACAUUUUCUGUAUCAGAAAACUCCACGAAAACUCUUAUGAAAUUUAAGAGUCCAAGGAGGAUUUAGCAGUAAAUUAAGAAUAGAGUGCUUAGUUGAACGAGGCCAUAAAGCGCGCACACACCGCCCGUCACUCCCCUCAAAUAUAUUUAAGGAACGUCUUAACUAAACAUCCCAAUAUCUAUAUAGAGGGGAUAAGUCGUAACAUGGUAAGUGUACUGGAAGGUGCACUUGGAUAAAU